rnacentral:rRNA from 1 species
GUUGAGCCUCGGAUCAGGUAGGGAUACCCGCGAACUUCUUCCUGUCAAUAACGGGAGGA